CACCAAUCAAGCCUGGCUUGGUAUUGGGCCACGGGGGUGACCCGGGCCUCAAAGUUUGUCGGCUGGAUAGCUCUGAUCUCAGCGUCGUGAUAAUCAAUUCGCCGACGAGAAGGGUGGUCCACGCCGUGAAAUCCAUCACAGG
rnacentral:misc_RNA from 1 species